UUCGCUACACACUUCCUUGGCACACACUGCAGCUCUACGUAGGCAUGUCGUCAAAGUACGUUAAUUUUGUAUCGUGUAACUAAUUUGCUUUUACUCUUUUAUCAUUGCUUUUUUUUCCCCACAACACUAUGAAUUAGACUGCCUUGGCUCCUUUUUUCUGGACUGGAUUGAGAUCCUGCAUCAUGUAUCGGUGUCCACAUUUCUCCAAGGAUACCAAACUAUAAUUUGCUGGCAGCCCAUAAAAUCUUUUCAAGAAGAUUAGGGAAAGGUUGGAUUGCUAUGUCCUUCAUGUGCACACACAUGUAUAGAAACACUCAUUUUUUCCCUUAAAAUGCAUUAUAGGAGGAGUAUGGUAAUUCUUUAUAAAAUUCAAGAUGAGUUUGUCCCUAAGUCGUGUGAGACUUCUUAAUACACUUUCUCACGUGUAGGUCAGUAUUUCCAAUACCAUCAUCGUGGAUAGGUUGCAAGAGUCCAUCAUCGAUUAUAGGUUAGCUUGCUCUGAUACUAUAUAGAAAUACUAAUUUCUGUCUUUAAAAGAUCUUAUAGGAGGAGUAUGAUAACUCCUUAUAAAGUCUUAGAUGGAUUUGUUCCUAAGUCGUGUAGGACUUCUCAAUAACAUGGACAUGGAUUUCAUAAUCUCUAACUGAUGCCAAUAAAGUUUCUGGUUUUACUUACCAAAAAGUAAAUAAAUAAAUUAGAUCAAACUCAUGAUAUUAAUAUUUGAAUAUUAUCUGUAUAAUAUUAUUGACCGGAGUCCAUGCACGCUAGCUCAAGUCCAUAUAUACGAACCCAUGCUUUAAAACAAGCCCACCCUGAGAAAAAAAAAUGGAGGCGCUAAACGAACCGUUUAGUCCCUUCCAUCUUUUCCCUACGUUUUCCUCUCCCCUAUGCCGACGUGGCGACGCCCACUUCUCGUCUCACAUUUCAGUUACUCUCGUGCCGUACUUCAUUCUCUCCAACGUCCAUAGGUUCUCUCUUUGCUCUCCUCCUUUUGUCUCUCUCGCCCCCUCCCCUGUGAUUUUUGGGUCUGCCGUCUGCUGCUCUUGGGUUCGUGUUGUAAGAGUUUUAUUUAAAUUUUAUGUCUAACACACCUAUUUUAAUAGAGUUUGAAAUAAUUCAAAACUUAUCAAUUAAUAAAUGAGUUAUAAUGAAAUAAAAAAAUUUUUAAAAGAUAAGAUUAAAACUCUAUAACUCUAAUAUAUACAAAAUAACAAAAUAAUUAAUUAGCUGCAUGAUCAAAGACUCGUACGUUGAAUUACUUAUUCCGUGCUUCAACACGUUUUGGGUUCAUAAUUCUGGUCAGCAUUUUAGAUAAUUUUGGUUCAUAAAUUGGAUGUUUGAAGUCUUGUGAUUUUUUACGUCCAUAUCGUUGAAUUUCUGAAGCACAAAAAAAUAUCCCAAAAGACGGGCUAAAGAAACAAAGACAUGGUACAGAUCAGCAUGAGUGGAUGAUGAUGGAGGCCGGUCGUAUACGCAGGGUGCGGGCUAUGUUUAUUGUUUCACAUUAAUUAAUUUCCUGUGGUUCAAGGGCACUAGCUAGCCUCAACCACUCGUUUUGGUACUAGAACUACUCCACCCAAUCACAUGAUGAGUUGGAUAAAUAUGAGUAAUUGUAUGUGUAACCGUCAAGUUGGGUACAUAUGAGUAAUUGUAUGUGUAACCGUCGAGUGCAUAAAUAUCGUAUAAUCAUUUUGAAAAAAAAUGAGAUUUAUUAUUAAAAAAUUAAUUUUUUUUUCAUAUGUCUUAUGUUUAUUUAUUUUUUUCAAAACGAUUACACAGUAGUUACAUAAUUCGUAGUUACAAAUAUUUUUUCUCAACAUAUAUAUCAUACACGAGUUGGCUUACCUUAUUAAAUAUGAUAAUUAAAUAUGAUAUUAAAUGAUUAAAAGUUAUAUUCUCAUCAUCUUAUAACAUGAGAUUAGAUAUUUUUUCAUUACCAAUCCAUGAACUUAAUGUAACACCCGGUCUGAUUCUAGGCCCAGAUCCAAGCCCAUGUUUUAAAACAAGCCCACCCUGAAAAAAAAAAAAAAAUGGCGCCAAACGCACCGUUGAGUCCCUUCCAUCUCUUCCCCAUGUUUUCCUCUCCCCUCUGCCGACGCCCACUUCUCGUCUCCCAUUUUAGUUACUCUCGUGCCGUACUUCAUUUCAGAUCUCUCACUCUCUAUCUCUCUCACUGUCGUUCUCUGUUUUCAAUCGGUUCUAUUGUUUUUUUUUUUUUUUGCAUGAGUCAUAGCACGUCCCUAGGCUUUUCUCGCUCAUCUCCAUUUGGUUCCAGCCUCCGUACACCGCGGCGCGCUGCCACACCAUAUGUUGAGGCACCCUGUGUGUGGGUUUUGCUGCUGGAGCCUCCAUCUCUGUUCUGCACUGCUGCUGUUAUAACGCCGGUAAGCCCCUUCAUCUCGAUCUCUACAUCUUUCUCUCUCAUUUUUUUUCUCCGCUACAUGCUAUCUUGCUAACCUCUCGGGUUCUCCCUCUCACAGUAGCACUUCCCUUUUUAGAUUUAAGCCGUGACUAACUUAGGCCACCGGAGUCGACAUACAUCCCCGCCGCCGAGGUAUGUACCCCGUUUGAUAGCAUUCUUUCCGUCGUGUAUCACCCACUGUUCAAAUUCGGUUUUAACAUCACUGUUUAUACAGCCCAACCAGCCGCACGUCAAACCCCAAAGCAACCACACAUUAACCCAAACAGCAGACACAUUAAUUAUCAGUUCAAUCAUGUAACUAGUGGCAGCACCAUCUUCCAACAAUUACCAAUGUACAAGUUACGUAACAACGGUAUAAACACAAAACUAAAGCUCGGAUUUCCUUACCAAAAUUUCAUUACGGUGAUACAACGAAGAGUAAAAGGAAGAGAAAGAAGCUCCUUGAAAGGCGUCAGCCCUAGCUCUCUGUACGCGUAAGUACCAUUCACCAGAGAGGUUCAAUUACAGAGAAGUCGGAGAAAGGAAGAAGAACAACAACCAUUCUUAAGCCAUGUAUCAUACACAUUUGUACAUAUAUAAAUUGAUUUUUUUAAAACAAUAAAGUGAACUCAAUUUCAGCGUA